UUGUUGGCGGGGUAACGGCCCACCAAGACAUCGAUGGAUAGGGGUUCUGAGAGGAAGGUCCCCCACAUUGGAACUGAGACACGGUCCAAACUCCUACGGGAGGCAGCAGUGAGGAAUAUUGGUCAAUGGACGAGAGUCUGAACCAGCCAAGUAGCGUGAAGGAUGACUGCCCUAUGGGUUGUAAACUUCUUUUAUAUGGGAAUAAAGUGAGCCACGUGUGGCUUUUUGUAUGUACCAUACGAAUAAGGAUCGGCUAACUCCGUGCCAGCAGCCGCGGUAAUACGGAGGAUCCGAGCGUUAUCCGGAUUUAUUGGGUUUAAAGGGAGCGUAGGCGGACUAUUAAGUCAGCUGUGAAAGUUUGCGGCUCAACCGUAAAAUUGCAGUUGAUACUGGUCGUCUUGAGUGCAGUA
rnacentral:rRNA from 1 species